rnacentral:rRNA from 1 species
GAUGAACGCUGGCGGCGUGCCUAACACAUGCAAGUCGAACGGGGUCCAGCCUUAGAGACCUUCGGGUCAAAGAGGGGAAGACUGAGUGGCGGACGGGUGAGUAACACGUGGGCAACCUGGCUCAUAGAGGGGGAUAACAGAGAGAAAUUUCUGCUAAUACCGCAUAAGCACACACUGCCGCAUGGCAGAGUGUGAAAAGAGAAUCGCUAUGAGAUGGACCCGCGUCUGAUUAGCCAGUUGGCAGGGUAAGAGCCUACCAAAGCGACGAUCAGUAGCCGAUUUGAGAGGAUGAACGGCCACAUUGGGACUGAGACACGGCCCAAACUCCUACGGGAGGCAGCAGUGGGGGAUAUUGCACAAUGGGGGGAACCCUGAUGCAGCGACGCCGCGUGAGUGAAGAAGUAUUUCGGUAUGUAAAGCUCUAUCAGCAGGGAAGAUAAUGACAGUACCUGAAUAAGAAGCCCCGGCUAACUACGUG